CUUCUCAAGAUGGAUCUGGUCCUCACUGAUCACCAUACUGUAAAGGGGAAGUACUUGUUAGGAUAGCGAGAGUUAAAUGGCUCCAGGCUCCUGUCAUUGUGACAAGUUGGAGGAGGGGAGACUGAACAAAGCCUGCAUUCAAGCCCCAGUCUAAGUCCUCUCCAUCGUGUCAGAGUCUGGGUGUUCCAGGACUGGGUUUUAUUACCUAAGAUGCCAGCACACACA